AGGAGUCAGCAGGAUUUCUCCGAGGAAGUCACUGCAAAUGAUCAGGCUUCAGGGAGGCCCGGCCUGUAGCCCUUUUCUUUUUGUUAGGCAUUGCAUGUGACAGGGGUGCUUUUCCGGUCAAAGUCAAGGCACUUUUAUGUGCUUUGAAUAUUAUUAUGUCAGCUUCCUGCUACCAUGGUGAUUUACUAAACAGAGUCUGGGAUUUACUAGUCUGAGUAACAGGCGAUGGAAGCAGGUUCACUCUUUCAACCAGUAGAUCCAGUCUUCUGCACCUGCCUCUUCCCUCAACGGCUGCCUUCCGGCAACCCCGAGAACAGAGUUGGACAGUCCAUCCCUGGGAGACCCUGUCCCAGAACAUCUAGACUCCCAGGUUGGUCCUCUUUGGAACAUGAGAGGAUGUGGUUACAUUUGCAAUUGAAAGACAUCAUCUAGGGGGUAAAUGUGAAAGGAAAGGUCCAGGAAGGACCAGGGCAGAGGGCUCCCCUAUAAUUCUCUGAUGUUCAUUCCUUUGAACACCCUUAGCCAUGUAGACACAUUUGCAAGGAGAGAGUUUGCAAAGCCAUUAAUAGAAACAAAAGUAGUAAGGAAGAUCUGAUGUGACUCAACAUGCUGUUCACAUAAGAGAAACUAAUCUCCAGGCAGAAUGGCCUGUAACUGAUGCCUGUGUUCUGUUAUUGAAAGCCUCUUGGCAUUGCUUUGUUGCAUUCUGGAAUACACAAUUACAAGCACUGAAAUUAAAGAAGCAAAAAACAUUAACCAAUUCCAUAACUAUAACAAUAGAUACAAAAUAUUAUACAUGCUAGAUUCAUGUCAGUUCUCAAAACAGUCUUAACUGUCCUCAUUUCUGUACACACUUCACCAAUGACUCACUUUUACACUCUGACAAGUCACAUGACUUCCUUGCACUGUAUUUUCUGCAUUUACAGAUGGGAUAAAAAACAACUUUAAUGCUGUUGUAUGUUCAAGGAACCUAACCACAAAGUACUGUGAAUUCCUUGUAUAAAUGGUACUGUGCAGAAACAAGCCAGUUUAAAACCAAAACUAAACCAAAAGAAGCAUUAGCCAAGUCAGGAGUACCCCCAAAAUUCAGAGAUUACUGCAACUUAUUGCAUUAAAGUCUGGGCAACGUGUCUUCAGAGAGAACAUGCUACUUGUUUAGGGGUAGUUUGGCAUAGGCAGGAAGGUAUGGAUUUAAGGUUUAAAUCUUGGAUCUGCAAGUGAUGGUUGCACAAAUAUAUGUGACUUUGGGCAACUCACACUUAUGAAAUGGAGAUAAAGACAGCUACCUUACAGGGUAUUUGUAAGAAAUACAGAGAAACAUGAAGAAUACUUAGAACAUAGCAGAUGCCCAAGAAAUACAUCCUCUGUAUUUUCUGCAUCCUAUUUUCAGGUUAAUCCUGCUCCACUCCCCUGCCCCAUUAACUCAAGACUUCAUAUUGAUGGAGAAGUCAGCAGAGCAGCCAAGAGCAUCAGCAGCUGCCCAUUAGCCUUUACCCACUGCAUGGUUCAUUCAUUCAUUCAUUCAUUCAACAAGUAUUUCUCAAGCUUCUCCCACACGCCAGGCACUAGAGCUGAUCCCCUGCAGCUUUUCAGCAUUACCAGUAUCCACUGCUAACCAGAUCUGCUUGACCCCUCGAGUUCGCCUUUCUUCACUGGUUCCAGUGAAGAAACCCUGAGCCUCCCCCAGUCUAUCUUGGACAGUUGUGCAAAUUAAGCAUUACCGAACUCAUGGAGCAGCAUCCACGUCACGGCGCUUCCUUCUUGCUCGUCCUCCCUGCCUACAUGCACCUAGGGAAUCUUUCUGAGGUUAUGCUAAGCAAAGUGAAUACAGUAAAAUCCAAGAAUUAGAUUGAAGACCGAGUGAGGGGAGUAAAGGCUUCCUCCCCUCAUUGAGGACAGCAUCUGGCUAGGAAGUCAUGGGCCUCGUUAACAUUAUUAAUCACUCUAAUGCCAACAUGGUUGUAUUUUUAUUUGAUUUUCAAGGGGAUCUUGUAGAAAAAGGUUAUCUCCUUUUUACCAAUGAAGAAGCAAGAUCCAGAGGAAUUAAACCAUUUGACUGUGGUCACAAAGCCAGUGGGUGUCUGCACUAAGACCAAAAUUCAGUUCUCCUGACCCCCAGGCCUGUUUCCUCACAGGCUGGUGGCCCAGCCGUGCUGUCCAAUAGAAUUAUCUGUGUGAUGGAAUGUUCUAGACCUGUGCCAGCUAAUGCAGUAGCCACCCAGCUCAAUGUGCCUGUUGAGUACUUGAAAUGUGGUUAGUGUAACUGAGGACUAACAUUUUUUUUAAGUUUUAUGUAAUUUUAAUGAAUUUAAAUUUAAAUAGCCGCAUGUGACUAGUGGCUACUAUACUGGGCAAUGCAGAUAGGACCUUAAUGCUAAACCUAAGCUGCACAGAGAGGGCUUCCGGACCAGUCACUCCUGCCUUUCUGUAGUUACCUUCCCCCAGAGCCAACCCUUCUCCAUCCCAAGCCCCAGGCCCACAUGCAGCCAUUUGUAAAUAAUCACUGAGUGUCCCCAGAAAACUUGAAGAGGGAGCUAACUCUAGAUAGGGUCAGAGCCCAUAGGCUGCCCAUAGGGUCUGUUGAGGGCUAGGACCAAAAAGGCCAGCCCACCCAGAGAUGACUCCCACCUCCUAUGGGGCCUCAAUUUUCCCUAUCUGCCCCAGUACCUCCAGGUCAUGGCUUGGAAGGCAACGGCAAAUUUGUCACCAUGAAGCCAUUAUCAAGCUCAGAACUUAAUUAUCUGAUCAGCCACCUCCCUGGGUCCUAAGGGAGCAGACCCUAGGAAUGAGAGACAGUCUUUGAGAAAGAGAAAGAAACAUGGCAUUGACUGAAACAGAAGCACAGAUGAGAGGCCCCCAGUAGAGGCCAGUCCAAGGUCUUAUUUUAUUUGGCCAAUACUAACUGUGGGAAAAAAAAAUGUUUAAAUUCACUGGAUAUCCAAAAUUUAAACACAGUGAAAAUCUCCUAUAAACUCAUUUCCCCACUCCUGGAGCCUUGGGCUAUCUAGUAACGUCCAGUUCCAUUAGCAUCCACAGUAUUCAUCUCGCAGAGCAGUAGCAGCUGCUCUGUUGAGAUGGUGAGGAGCUAUUUCUGCACAGCCCCCACCACUGGUCCCCUGUAACAUCCUUCUUUACUCAUUCAUCUGACCUGACUGGCAUCUGCAGGCAUCUGGAGCUGUCAUCCUAGCACAGGGGGACAGACUUGGGCAAGGUGUCUCUGUGAGGGGCUGGGAUAACAGCACAGAACUACCUGUGUGUCUGGAGGCCCAGGACGUGCUGUGGGGGAGAUGGUAGAGAAAGGGGGUGCUGAAAUGGAGUGAGGAAUAGAGGGAGAGAGUUGUAACACACUAAAAUGUGACGGGACCACCUCCAUACUCCACCUCCUACCUGACUUGCAUUGAUAACUGCCAGAUGUUUCUUGGAACAUCUUGAUCUCCAGCCCCCAAACCCUUUUCUUCUACUUUCUUCCAGUACUUAGAACAAUGCCAACCACAUAGAAAGAACUCAAGAAAUGUGAAUUGUUCACAAUAAAAUGUACUCAAUUCAGAAUGCCUCCAUCAGACUCCCCCGGCUAUUGCUUCAACUUGUCACUCUCCCCGCUGAACGCUUCUGUAUUCUCCCUCCUUCUUAAGCUCACACUGAAUCUCUGCUGUCAUGUCCCAGUGAGAUAGGUUUUUUAAUUCCAGGCCUCCACCCAAGUGGCUGGCUGACCCAGCCAAAUGCUGGCACAACGUGGGAUGCAAUUCGCUCACUGUCUCUCAGCAUGGUCCUGGAAGCUGAGUCAAAAUUAUUAUCCAAACCAUAGCCUGGCAUAUGGCUUUAACACUUUUUCUUUCCUUCCUUUUGUCAUUCAGUCUGUUCACUUGAGAUAUUCUCCAUGCCAGUGAGGCAGAGAGCAGGGAAUUGGGGAAGGUCCCUAGGCCAUAAGGUCCUCUAAAAGAAGAACUGCAUUUUCUUCUUUUGCAGUCCUAGCAUCUAGCAGGGUCCGUGGCACAGAGGACGGGUUCUCAUGUAGACACAAGUGUGGCUAGAAGAAACAAUUUGAUUAACAGAGGCAAGCAGGAGAGAAAGGACCACUAGACUAAGGAUGAGUUCAGGACACAGGUUCAAAGCACAGCUGUGUAUUUUCCUACCUGUGUUAGCUAAUUCACUAAUCUGAGCUUCUCUUUUCUGAUCUAUGAAAAAUAAUUAAUAAUAUAAAUGCUGUUAUUGACUGCUACAAUCUUUAGGCAGUCAGACGACACUUGGCUGCAAAAAAGCAUAAAAAUUUUAGGAACAAUGACUCAUGAUCUCAAUCCUAGAAACUCAUUUUAAGGAAGUAAUUCAGCAGAAACAAACCCAUUCUGUACAUGAAGAAGUUUAUUCAAACUCUAUUCAAUAGCAAAAUACCUAACAUUACCUAACUAGCCACAAUAAGGAAAUAAUUAGUCACAAAUAAUAUUUAAACAUGACGGGAUAUUUUUCAACAAUAAAAAAUGAAUGUUUCUGAAGACUAAACACAGAAUCUCCUAUCCCCCUCAGUGCUGCUAGAGCGUUCCUUUAAGAACCAAAUCUGUUCCUGUUGCUGCCCUUAUCAAAGUUAUUCAAUGGUUAAAAAUUUAGUAGGUAGGGCAUGGUGGCUCAUGCCUGUAAUCCUAGCAUUUUAGGAGGUUAAGGUGGGAGGUUUGCUUGAGGCCAAAAGUUCAAGACCAGCCUGGGCAACAUAGCAAGACUCUUGUCUCUGUAAAAAAUAAGAUCAAUUAAAUUAGCCAGGUAUGGUUGUGCUCACCUGCAGUCCUAGCUAUUUAGGAGGCUGAGGUGGGAGGAUUGCUUGAGCCCAGGAGUUUGAGGCUGCAGUGAGCUACAAUUGUGCCACUGCACUCCAGCCUAGGUGUUAGAGCAACAUUAUGACUCAAAAAAAAAAAAAAAAAAAAAACUUACAAGUGGGAUUG
rnacentral:lncRNA from 1 species